rnacentral:rRNA from 1 species
GCCAGCAGCCGUAUCACCCUGCAGCUCUCAGCUGCCUACCCACUGAAGGUAAGCAGGGUUGAACCUGCUCCGUACCUGGAUGGGAGACCUCCUGGGAAGCUAUGGUUGCUGCUGGAA